CUAUACAUGCAGUCGAGCGAACUGAUUAGAAGCUUGCUUCUAUGACGUUAGCGGCGGACGGGUGAGUAACACGUGGGCAACCUGCCUGUAAGACUGGGAUAACUUCGGGAAACCGAAGCUAAUACCGGAUAGGAUCUUCUCCUUCAUGGGAGAUGAUUGAAAGAUGGUUUCGGCUAUCACUUACAGAUGGGCCCGCGGUGCAUUAGCUAGUUGGUGAGGUAACGGCUCACCAAGGCAACGAUGCAUAGCCGACCUGAGAGGGUGAUCGGCCACACUGGGACUGAGACACGGCCCAGACUCCUACGGGAGGCAGCAGUAGGGAAUCUUCCGCAAUGGACGAAAGUCUGACGGAGCAACGCCGCGUGAGUGAUGAAGGCUUUCGGGUCGUAAAACUCUGUUGUUAGGGAAGAACAAGUACGAGAGUAACUGCUCGUACCUUGACGGUACCUAACCAGAAAGCCACGGCUAACUACGUGCCAGCAGCCGCGGUAAUACGUAGGUGGCAAGCGUUAUCCGGAAUUAUUGGGCGUAAAGCGCGCGCAGGCGGUUUCUUAAGUCUGAUGUGAAAGCCCACGGCUCAACCGUGGAGGGUCAUUGGAAACUGGGGAACUUGAGUGCAGAAGAGAAAAGCGGAAUUCCACGUGUAGCGGUGAAAUGCGUAGAGAUGUGGAGGAACACCAGUGGCGAAGGCGGCUUUUUGGUCUGUAACUGACGCUGAGGCGCGAAAGCGUGGGGAGCAAACAGGAUUAGAUACCCUGUAGUCCACGCCGUAAACGAUGAGUGCUAAGUGUUAGAGGGUUUCCGCCCUUUAGUGCUGCAGCUAACGCAUUAAGCACUCCGCCUGGGGAGUACGGUCGCAAG
rnacentral:rRNA from 2 species